rnacentral:rRNA from 1 species
GCUGGCGGCGUGCCUAAUACAUGCAAGUCGAGCGAACGGACGAGAAGCUUGCUUCUCUGAUGUUAGCGGCGGACGGGUGAGUAACACGUGGAUAACCUACCUAUAAGACUGGGAUAACUUCGGGAAACCGGAGCUAAUACCGGAUAAUAUUUUGAACCGCAUGGUUCAAAAGUGAAAGACGGUCUUGCUGUCACUUAUAGAUGGAUCCGCGCUGCAUUAGCUAGUUGGUAAGGUAACGGCUUACCAAGGCAACGAUGCAUAGCCGACCUGAGAGGGUGAUCGGCCACACUGGAACUGAGACACGGUCCAGACUCCUACGGGAGGCAGCAGUAGGGAAUCUUCCGCAAUGGGCGAAAGCCUGACGGAGCAACGCCGCGUGAGUGAUGAAGGUCUUCGGAUCGUAAAACUCUGUUAUUAGGGAAGAACAUAUGUGUAAGUAACUGUGCACAUCUUGACGGUACCUAAUCAGAAAGCCACGGCUAACUACGUGCCAGCAGCCGCGGUAAUACGUAGGUGGCAAGCGUUAUCCGGAAUUAUUGGGCGUAAAGCGCGCGUAGGCGGUUUUUUAAGUCUGAUGUGAAAGCCCACGGCUCAACCGUGGAGGGUCAUUGGAAACUGGAAAACUUGAGUGCAGAAGAGGAAAGUGGAAUUCCAUGUGUAGCGGUGAAAUGCGCAGAGAUAUGGAGGAACACCAGUGGCGAAAGCGACUUUCUGGUCUGUAACUGACGCUGAUGUGCGAAAGCGUGGGGAUCAAACAGGAUUAGAUACCCUGGUAGUCCACGCCGUAAACG